rnacentral:rRNA from 1 species
UCGCCUGUUUAUCAAAAACAUCUCCUCUUGAAAAGUAAGAGGUACUGCCUGCUCAAUGCGUAUUAUGUAAAUGGCCGCGGUAUUCUGACCGUGCUAAGGUAGCAUAAUCAUUUGUCUCUUGAUUAGAGGCUGGUAUGAAUGGCAAGACGAGAAGGUGACUGUCUCUUUUAUGACACUUGAAUUUCACUUCUGGGUGAAAAGGCCCAGAUAAAUUUAAAGGACGAUCAGACCCUAUAGAGCUUAAAUUUCUUGAGUUAUUGUUUUAGUUGAAGUAAUAAGGGGUAAAUUCAAGAGAUUUUGGUUGGGGCGACAAAGAGAAUAAAAUAACACUCUUUUUAAUUACCACUAAUAAGUGAAUAGUUGAUCCUCAAUGAGGGAUUAAAAGAUUAAGUUACCUUAGGGAUAACAGCCUAAUAUUAAAAAAAAAUACUAGAUCUGAGUUCAGACCCGACCCCGCCCGUUAUCAAAAACAUAUACGUGAUAUGAGUCAGA